CAGUCGCCGCGGGAAUACGUAGGUGGCGAGCGUUGUCCGGAAUCAUUGGGCGUAAAGGGAGCGCAGGCGGGCAUAUAAGUCUUUCUUAAAAGUGCGGGGCUCAACCCCGUGAUGGGAAAGAAACUACAUGUCUUGAGUGCAGGAGAGGAAAGCGGAAUUCCCAGUGUAGCGGUGAAAUGCGUAGAUAUUGGGAGGAACACCAGUGGCGAAGGCGGCUUUCUGGACUGCAACUGACGCUGAGGCUCGAAAGCCAGGGGAGCGAACGGGAUUAGAUACCCCCGUAGUCCCUGUCUCUUAUACC
rnacentral:rRNA from 1 species